UGUUUGUGUUUUCUCUAAUGGGCCUCAGAUGACUGUUUGCUUAAAUUUGGGUCUCAAAGAAUCUUUUUUUAAUUCUGCCUGUACUCUCCACCCCUCUUCUUCUGUUGCUCAGGUUGAAGCAGAAUUUGCCCGUCUUACAUCUGUUGACCUGAAAGGGUUCCUUUUUGCUGUGCUUGACCAUUAUGGAGAGGUUCGUGGAGCUGUACAAAAUCAAGAGCGGCAUAGAAAGGCUAACUAGGCUCAUAAGAUGCUUCGGAGAUGAUAGCCCUACACAAAGGAAGAGGACAGAGGACCUCAUUUUCUAAAGGAAGAUCCCUCACACACUUUCAAGACUGUGAAGCCGACAGGUAUUGAAGACACGUUUUCUAAGAGGAUGAAAGUUGGCAUUGCGAUGGUGAAAGAAGAAGACCUC